CAAAUUUAUGUGUCGCAUCUAAAAAACAGAUGACGAAGAGAAAUCUUCUUGAAAUCUCCUUGACAUAUCCAACUGAAAACAAAUCGAUUUUAUCAGCAGAUAAGAAAAUAUACGUGUAUUUCAUUUGUAUUUUUAUGAAUAACAUUUUUUUCAAUAUUAUUCAUUCUUCAAGAUUUUCAAAAAUAUACUUCUGUACAAAUACGUCGACUUUAUAGAUAUUGUAGAACUGUGCGAGUAAAAUCGUCCAUCGGUUCCGGUAUCACCACGAAUCCACGAUCCAGAAGUAGGUGCACGCGCGCGCGCGUGUUUGCGCCCAGUUGGGAAGCGUUGCACUCUCACACAUGCGCGCACAAGUACAGCAAGUACUUACAAUUAGUACGGGGAACGCAGCCCCAAGCUGUGAGAGACGGUCGAUAUGUGGUCACAAUGAAGGGUGUGGCGUUCGAGGACCAAAAGCUCUCUCCUGUCCGCUUUAUCCUACCAUUGGCUGUUGCCAGGUGUCGAGAAUGGCGGACCUUUCUCGCCGUGGCCCUCCGGCUUCUCUUAACAACACUUCAAGUCUUCUCGCGACCGCCACCAAAGAUUUUGCUUUAAUUGCGGCACGUGGAAUGGAGGCAGCUUUCUGAUUUGCGAUUCACACGCAUCGUCGGUACACCGUGUCGCGAUGAUGAAGAGAAUGACGACGUUCGAGGAAGAUUGAUGAGGUGUGUUUACCGCUAACUAAUUCCCGUCUGCUGCCGGUUCACGUCUAGCCAACUAACUUUUGCCCCCGGCGGAACGAGGAUCCCGAAGAGCACCCGAAUUUACGCCGACAAAUUGUUUGAAUUCCACCGACGGAUGAUUGAGUAUGGAAUCGAGAAUAUCGUGAAAAAUGCAUUGGUGUGGAUCUAAGAAAGGACAUUUCAUUAAAAUGGAAGUAUAAUGAAAAGAUGGAAAGAUUAGAAAAACCUGUUUCUUUCUCCUCAUCUAUAACAUCAUCGUUUCUAUUCCAUUCGAAGAAUCUUCAUAAUCCUGAAGUUCCUCGUCGAUGACGUUCCAUUUCAACUUCCGUUCUCGUUAUAGGAGAAAGUGUCAGUCGUUCACCGGAGGUGGUUAACGAAGCAUCACCCUGGAUUAGGCUUGCGUCAAGCCACAAAACCAGCCUCUUCUCGGGGUUCUGCGUACGAUGAAGAAACGGAGGUUAUUCUUGGUUGAACAAACACUGGAAUGGGUCGCGUGCGCCUCCCACAUAUUUAUAGAUUUUAUCUCUCUUUGACUUCGCCGAGGCGAGUAGGCGUUCGUGUACUCGCGUGCACCACGAGCGGGAGGAGGAGGACGCGAAAACCGGGAGAAAAUCUGUGGAAUGCCGGUAGAAAGAAGGAAAACAUCAGCCGGAAUGACAGAAGAGAAGAAAUCGAAAAGGGAUUGCUUCUAUUUUGGCUUAGCUAGAGAAAAAUUUGCUUCCGUUACGUCGACGAGAUUUUUCUUCAACCCUUUCACAUCUAUGAACAAGAUAUCUGGCGCUUCUUUCCAUUAAAAUGCAAGAUAUCUACAAAAAAAUUCGGCAAAAAUUAGUUCAGGAGAUAUCUCUUGUGAUAUUUUUGAUGUUUCAUUAAUGAUAUUUACUAUCUAUAGAA